rnacentral:lncRNA from 1 species
GUGCCUGUGUCUUCUCCCUGUGACCUCAGUCCUCCCACUUUACUGGGCUCCUCGGGAGUGAAUCUGUCCGUGGCGCUCUCACUGUUUAUUGUAGAGGACUCAGGUGGUGACUACACAAUGUCCUCAUAGGUCACAAUCAAACCCAGAGCAGGGACCGACUUUCAUGGACUCACGUUCCCAUUUGUGGGGACACCGGGUCCUCUCAUGUGGCUCCUCCCUGGUGGCCAGGGCUCUCCUUCCUCUGUGGAUCCUGCAGCGCUGAAUAGAAGGGAAGCUCUUCCCUCUAGGAGGCCCAGGGCACAUUCCCAGAGGGUUAUUCUGGUCAAUCUUCAUUCUCUACUUCCCCUGAAUUGCAGUCAUAGUCAUCUGGAUCUUGUGACCGGGCUGAGCUGUGUCUCACAUACAGGACAAGGCUGCUCAUGGCCCUCUCCCUGCCCAGGAAUGCUCUUCCUGGUGGAUGCCCCAUCAGCUCUUAGGGUGAGGGCAGAGCGAGGAGCAGGUCCACAGCUACCUCUCCCAGUUCAGCCCCAUCCUGGGUCCAGUAUAAUGUGUCCCAUGUGAUAAGAGGUAGGUCUCUGUCAAGUAGUUGCUGAGCACGUAUCUUUUGCUGGGCAUAGAGCUCAGCUCUGGAAAUGCCAUAAUCCCUACCUAAUGCCAUAAUCCCUACCUAGACAGCCUAAUCCCUACCUUUUGCAGCUAACCCUGAUGAAAACACAGGCAUAGGAAGGGCACAGGAGUCCACUCUUCCACCCCCUUAAUCCCUGGGGCAGAGACCAGAGAAGUCCCUGCUGCACUCCAGGGUCUGAGAAGAGACUUCGACUUGGUGGCAUCACAGGGGAAGAAGGAAGAAGGGACUACAGGAGAACCAAGGGCAUAUGGGCAUGACCUGAAGAUUCCUGGUGUUCAGGUGAAGAUGUAAGGAAGUCCACGAAGUAGAUACAGAUGAAUAAGAUUAGAUAAAUUACAGGAUCUAGGAGAAGUGGACUGCCGGGAAGGAGAGAUUGGAUUGAGAAAGACACCCUGGCAGGGCAAGUCCUCAGAAAUCCAAGAAGAUGUACUUUUGUUCCCCAAGUCCAGGAGCUUGUUGACUGGUUGGGCCUGAUCUGCUGGGGCUACUGGAGAGGAAGGCAGGGAGGAGCCACGUGUCAGCAGGAGAGAUACAGGGUUGGCAUCAUUAGCUCCUGAGUGGAAAAUGGACCAUGACAAGGAAUGAGAGCAGAAGAACUUGCAGUCAUAGUCAUCGGGAUCCUGUGACCAGGGAUCUCACCUAGGAGUCUGUUCUCCAUCACUGAAUGCCAAUCUGCGGGGGAUCCUGGCAAAUGACUUUGCAGUGUUUUGCUAAAGAGCAAAACAAGCAAAUAUGCUCAGUAUUUGAAGAUGGAAGAGUUAAAACUUCAGCUUGUUUUGACCAGAGUCUGUACUUAAGUGAGCCUGACACGUGGUAGCUUUUAGGAUCAACCAUUCCAACUAGGAUGUUUAGGAAAGAAUACUGUUCAAAAUCGCUAAUGAGUGUUUUGGGCAUGUCUGAAAGAUGAUAGAAAUUAUUCAUCUUUGAUGUGUAAUGAAAUCUAGAAUAUGAUACAUUAAAAACAGUAAACUGAAGAAAAAAGAUAAUCCUAUUUAUUAAAAUGAAACAGAUUGUAUAUAUGACUGCAAGAGUUCUGGCAUGAUACACCUGGGAUUCAACAAAUAUUUUUUGGGGCAAUCCCAUGUGGUUGGAGAACAGCAGGAUAGUUAUUUACUCUGGUGAGUCUGUCACCAGGCAGUUGUAGUACCAUGAGGUUUUACAUGCACCAUUUAAACAAUGUACUAGGUCGAGCACUGUGGCUCACGCCUGUCAUCCCAGCACUUUGGGAGGCUGAGGUGAGUGGAUCAC